AUGAACAAGGACGGCAUCCUCUGUUGCCACAUCCUUAAGGUGUUCACCCAUAUUGGAGUUGAUGUCAUACCGGAAAGGUACCUGCUAAGACGGUGGACACCUACUGCUGUACCUAGUGCGCCAGGGACUGGUUAUGAGCAACCGGAUGAAAUGCCUCCUCAAUCAAAGAAGCAGAUAAGGGAGAGGAACAUGAUAUACGAUUUUCGGAAACUAGCAAAGUUUGCGAGUGGUUCUGAUCCAGCACAAGCUAUUGUAUACAAGCAUAUGCGCGUAGCACGUACUGAGAUCGGCCACCUGAACAAGUCCAAGAAAAAGAAAAAGCUGACUGCUGCCACGGGGCCAUCAGAUGAUGGCAACCCUCGAGGACCUCCUCCACCUCCAGGCAGCAAUCAGGGGGCUCAUCAUCCAGAUAUAGGUGAUGUCAACCCUCAAGGACCUCCUCCACCUCCUGACUGUACACGGCAUCCUCCGCCACCUCCUCCCCCGCGUGCUCCUCCCAAUGGCCCUACAGGCAGCACUCAGGGGGCUCAUCGUCCAGGUGAUGCCAACCCUCAAAGACCUCCUCCCCCGCCUGGCCCAACUAGCAGUGCCCUGCGUGCUACUCCCGAUGGACCUACAGGCAGGACUCAGGGGGCUCAUCACCCAGGCGAUUACAAUCCAAGUACCAUGACGGGUCGUGCUACUACAGGUGAUCGUGAUGGUCCUACAGCCCCGUUGGAGGCUGCAUCCCCUGCACAAGCUUCUGAUGAUUUUGUGCCCAGGGAUCCUCCAAGGUCUACUACAAAGGGUAGGGCAAAGAGUCGACGGUACAAAUCGGCGCUGGAGCUACACCCAAAGAAGAAAAACAAAUGCAGCCAGUGCCAAUCUACAGAGCACACUGCUGGUGUGUGUCCACUCAGGCUACUGUGA
rnacentral:rRNA from 1 species